GCCACCAUGGGCUCUUACGACAUUCACAGAGGUCUCCCCCAAGGAAGCUAAGGGCAGCCUUGGGUCUGAGGUGGGCUGAGAUUCCCUAAGCAGGACAGGAAAGGGCUUUGCCUUGGCUGCAAGGUAGCUCCUGGGACCCAGCCACAGUAGGCAGAGGGUGCAGUGUGGAAUCAGGCAACCAGGGUUUGAAUCUCAGCUUUCAGAGCCCCACCCGUAGAAAGGACAUAACAACCCCAUGAUGAGAUCAUGCGAGCCCACCUGGGCCACAGUGUGUGCAGCAAUGACUGCAAUCGAAACCCACCCAAUGUCCCAUAGAAAGGCUUGCUUUUCUUUUCUUUUAAGAUGGAGUCUCCCUCUGUUGCUGAGUCUGGAAUGUGAUGGUGAGUUCUUGGCUCACUGUAUUAAUAUUAAUUUUUUCUCAAGGCGGGAUAAAAAGCCAGUCCCUCAGGUUCUGGGAACUCAACUACAACACUAAACACAUGGAUCUUUCCAACACCUGCCUGGUCACACAGCUGGACCGGAGCCCUGUCGCUGAUGACAAUAACCUCAACUCCAUUUUCUAUGAGCACUUGACGCGUUCUGCAGCACACGCUUUGUGGGGACCUGGUGCUGGGCCGCUGGGGCAACUAUGGCCCUGGCGAUGCUUCGUCUUGGCCUCCAACUACCUCAACGCCCUAGUACACCUCAUCGAGGUUGGCAGUGGCCUUGUCACCUUCCAGCUGUGUGGCCUUGAGUUCUGGGGCACUUACUGCCAGCAGUGAGAGGUGGAGGCCAUCACGGAGGGUGUGGAGGAAGACGAGGGCUGUUGCUGCUGCGAGCCCAGCCACCUGCCUCGGGUCCUGUCCUUCAGUGCUGCCUCUGGGCAGCGCUGGCUGGCCUGGGAGGUGACAGCCAGCAAAUACGUGCUGGAGGGCUACAGCAUUAGUGACAACAAUGCUGCCUCCAUGCUGCAGGUUUUCGACCUCCGCAAGAUCCUCAUCACCUGCUUCGUGAAAAGCAUCAUCUACUACGUGAGCUGCUCACCAAAGCUGGAGGCGUGGCUCAGCCAUGAGGGUAUCUCGGCAGCCCUGCGGCCUGUGCAUGCGCCCGGCUAUGCCGACUCAGAUCCCACCCUCUCACUGAGUGUGGACGAGGACUAUGACCUGCGCCUGUCUGGCCUCUCGCUGCCCUCCUUCUGCGUGGCGCACUUCGAGUGGAUCCAGUACUGCGCCUCCUGGCGCAGCCAGCCUGUGGAGCAGGACUGGAACUCCCCGCUGGUCACGCUGUGUUUUGGCCUGUGUGUGCUGGGCCGACGGGCCCUAGGGACGGCGUCUCACAGCAUGUCUGCAAGCCUGGAGCCCUUCCUCUACGGCCUACACGCCCUGUUCAAGGGGGACUUUCUCAUCAUCUCUGCACGUGAUGAGUGGGUCUUUGCUGACAUGGACCUGCUUCACCGCGUUGUGGCACCUGGGGUUCGCAUGGCCCUCAAGCUUCACCAGGACCACGUCACGUCCCCAGAUGAAUAUGAGGAGCCGGCAGCCCUAUACGAUACCAUUGCAGCCAACGAGGAGCGGCUGGUCAUCUCGCAUGAGGGUGACCUGGCCUGGCGCAAAGCCAUCCUCAGCAACACACCCUCCUUGCUGGCUCUGCGCCAUGUCCUGGAUGAUGCCUCGGAUGAGUACAAAAUCACCAUGCUCAACCGGCGCCACCUCAGCUUCCGAGUCAUCAAGGUGAACCGGGAGCGCGUUGGUGGCCAGUGGGCUGGGCAGCAGCAGGAGCUGGUGUUCCUGCGCAACCGAAACCCCGAGCGUGGCAGCAUCCAGAAUGCCAAGCAGGCGCUUCCAAACAUGAUUCACUCCUCCUGCGACCAGCUGUUGGGCUACCCCAUCUAUGCGUCGCCUCUUACCACCUCACUGGCUGGCAGCCACGCCCAGCUGCGGGCGCUAUGGGGUGGCCCCAUCAGCCUGGGUGCCACUGCCCGCUGGCUCCUGCGCAGCUGGGAGAGGCUUCACAAGGGCUGUGGCGCUGGCUGCAAUAGUGGCGGGAACAUGGAUAACUCAGACUGUAGUGGGGGCGGUGGCCUGACCUCCCUCAGCAAUAACCCCCCUGUUGCACACCCCACGCCUGAGAACACAGCAGGCAGUGGUGACCAACCCCUCCCACCAGGCCCUGGCUGGGGGCCUCGGCCCUCCCUGAGUGGCUCUGGUGAUGGGCGCUCCCUCCUCUGCUGCAGUGGCCACCUCCCCGGCUCCCUGGACGCCCUCCCCCCGGCAUCACCUACCCCCACAGAGGGUCCCUGGACCUCAUGGCCCCCUGGUCCUGGUCUCCUCGGUUCUGAGGGUCCUAGUGGGAAGUGAAGCCUGGGGGGGCAGAAGGGACUGGGAGGAUCCGAUGGGGAGCCAGCCUCAGGGAGCCCCAAAGGAGGUACCCCCAAAUCUCAGGCGCCUCUAGACCUCAGCCUCAGCCUUAGUCCGGAUGUCAGCACUGAGGCCUCGCUCCCCCAGAGUUCCCAGGACAUACCUUGCUUGGACAGCAGUGCCCCUGAGAGUGGCACACCUACAGGCACCCCCGGGCGACUGGCCUGCCUAUGCCAAGGAGCGGGAGAGCCUGGCAGCCCAGCCCCUGCUGGAACACCAGUACUGAGCCACCUGGCACCCACUGGACCUCCUGUUAGGACUCAGUAGUGGACCUGCUCUGCUGCCUCUGGCCCUCUCUGCUGGACCACAGAAUUGAGUGGCUUUGACCUCCAUGUCUGAACCCUGACCUCUGGCUGCCUUGGCCAGAGAACCAAAACUGAAUGACCCAUACCUGUGACCUUGACCCCUGAUCUCUCAUCCCCAGUCCGGGACCUGGGCUCCCCAGAUAGAGGCAGGCAGCCUCCCAGCCAGGCCCUAAGAGCCAAACCAUGGGCUGGUCCCACUUGGAGCCCAUGGCCAGUACCACCUCAGCCCCUGGGCCUGCACUGCCUGCAGGAGUGGCCCCCUUGGCCUGGACCUGGGGCCUGAAGUGUGAGAAGGGUGGUUUCUUGGUUUCCUUCUUUCCUUUAUUUAUUUAUUUAUUUUUUGUGCUUCAGAGACAUCAGAAUUAAUAACACUAUUUUUGAUUUUG